AGUGAACGCUGGCGGUAGGCCUAACACAUGCAAGUCGAACGGCAGCACAGGAGAGCUUGCUCUCUGGGUGGCGAGUGGCGGACGGGGGAGGAAUACAUCGGAAUCUACUCUGUCGUGGGGGAUAACGCAGGGAAACUUACACUAAUACCGCAUACGACCUCUGGGAGUAAGCCGGGACCCUUCGGCCCUUCCGCCAUUGCAUGAGCCGAUGUGGGAUUAGCUAGUGGGCGGGGUAAAGGCCCACCAAGGCGACGAUCCGUAGCUGGGCUGAGAGGAUGAUCAGCCACACUGGAGCUGAGACACGGUCCAGACUCCUACGGGAGGCAGCAGUGGGGAAUAUUGGGCAAUGGGCGUAAGCCUGAUCCAGCCAUACCGCGUGGGUGAAGAAGGCCUUCGGGUUGUAAAGCCCUUUUGUUGGGAAAGAAAUCCAGCUGGCUAAUACCCGGUUGGGAUGACGGUACCCAAAGAAUAAGCACCGGCUAACUUCGUGCCAGCCGCCGCAGUAA
rnacentral:rRNA from 1 species